rnacentral:rRNA from 1 species
UACGAAGGGGCUAGCGUUGCUCGGAAUCACUGGGCGUAAAGGGUGCGUAGGCGGGUCUUUAAGUCAGGGGUGAAAUCCUGGAGCUCAACUCCAGAACUGCCUUUGAUACUGAAGAUCUUGAGUUCGGAGAGGUGAGUGGAACUGCGAGUGUAGAGGUGAAAGUUCGUAGAUAUUCGGCAAGAACACCAGUGGCGAAGGCGGCUCACUGGCCCGAUACUGACGCUGAGGCACGAAAGCGUGGGAGCA